UGUGAGCUCGAUGAGUAGGGCGGGACACGUGGUAUCCUGUCUGAAUAUGGGGGGACCAUCCUCCAAGGCUAAAUACUCCUGACUGACCGAUAGUGAACCAGUACCGUGAGGGAAAGGCGAAAAGAACCCCGGCGAGGGGAGUGAAAAAGAACCUGAAACCGUGUACGUACAAGCAGUGGGAGCACGCUUAGGCGUGUGACUGCGUACCUUUUGUAUAAUGGGUCAGCGACUUAUAUUCUGUAGCAAGGUUAACCGAAUAGGGGAGCCGAAGGGAAACCGAGUCUUAACUGGGCGUUAAGUUGCAGGGUAUAGACCCGAAACCCGGUGAUCUAGCCAUGGGCAGGUUGAAGGUUGGGUAACACUAACUGGAGGACCGAACCGACUAAUGUUGAAAAAUUAGCGGAUGACUUGUGGCUGGGGGUGAAAGGCCAAUCAAACCGGGAGAUAGCUGGUUCUCCCCGAAAGCUAUUUAGGUAGCGCCUCGUGAAUUCAUCUCCGGGGGUAGAGCACUGUUUCGGCAAGGGGGUCAUCCCGACUUACCAACCCGAUGCAAACUGCGAAUACCGGAGAAUGUUAUCACGGGAGACACACGGCGGGUGCUAACGUCCGUCGUGAAGAGGGAAACAACCCAGACCGCCAGCUAAGGUCCCAAAGUCAUGGUUAAGUGGGAAACGAUGUGGGAAGGCCCAGACAGCCAGGAUGUUGGCUUAGAAGCAGCCAUCAUUUAAAGAAAGCGUAAUAGCUCACUGGUCGAGUCGGCCUGCGCGGAAGAUGUAACGGGGCUAAACCAUGCACCGAAGCUGCGGCAGCGACGCUGAUGCGUUGUUGGGUAGGGGAGCGUUCUGUAAGCCUGCGAAGGUGUACUGUGAGGUAUGCUGGAGGUAUCAGAAGUGCGAAUGCUGACAUAAGUAACGAUAAAGCGGGUGAAAAGCCCGCUCGCCGGAAGACCAAGGGUUCCUGUCCAACGUUAAUCGGGGCAGGGUGAGUCGACCCCUAAGGCGAGGCCGAAAGGCGUAGUCGAUGGGAAACAGGUUAAUAUUCCUGUACUUGGUGUUACUGCGAAGGGGGGACGGAGAAGGCUAUGUUGGCCGGGCGACGGUUGUCCCGGUUUAAGCGUGUAGGCUGGUUUUCCAGGCAAAUCCGGAAAAUCAAGGCUGAGGCGUGAUGACGAGGCACUACGGUGCUGAAGCAACAAAUGCCCUGCUUCCAGGAAAAGCCUCUAAGCAUCAGGUAACAUCAAAUCGUACCCCAAACCGACACAGGUGGUCAGGUAGAGAAUACCAAGGCGCUUGAGAGAACUCGGGUGAAGGAACUAGGCAAAAUGGUGCCGUAACUUCGGGAGAAGGCACGCUGAUAUGUAGGUGAAGUCCCUCGCGGAUGGAGCUGAAAUCAGUCGAAGAUACCAGCUGGCUGCAACUGUUUAUUAAAAACACAGCACUGUGCAAACACGAAAGUGGACGUAUACGGUGUGACGCCUGCCCGGUGCCGGAAGGUUAAUUGAUGGGGUCAGCGCAAGCGAAGCUCUUGAUCGAAGCCCCGGUAAACGGCGGCCGUAACUAUAACGGUCCUAAGGUAGCGAAAUUCCUUGUCGGGUAAGUUCCGACCUGCACGAAUGGCGUAAUGAUGGCCAGGCUGUCUCCACCCGAGACUCAGUGAAAUUGAACUCGCUGUGAAGAUGCAGUGUACCCGCGGCAAGACGGAAAGACCCCGUGAACCUUUACUAUAGCUUGACACUGAACAUUGAGCCUUGAUGUGUAGGAUAGGUGGGAGGCUUUGAAGUGUGGACGCCAGUCUGCAUGGAGCCGACCUUGAAAUACCACCCUUUAAUGUUUGAUGUUCUAACGUUGACCCGUGAUCCGGGUUGCGGACAGUGUCUGGUGGGUAGUUUGACUGGGGCGGUCUCCUCCUAAAGAGUAACGGAGGAGCACGAAGGUUGGCUAAUCCUGGUCGGACAUCAGGAGGUUAGUGCAAUGGCAUAAGCCAGCUUGACUGCGAGCGUGACGGCGCGAGCAGGUGCGAAAGCAGGUCAUAGUGAUCCGGUGGUUCUGAAUGGAAGGGCCAUCGCUCAACGGAUAAAAGGUACUCCGGGGAUAACAGGCUGAUACCGCCCAAGAGUUCAUAUCGACGGCGGUGUUUGGCACCUCGAUGUCGGCUCAUCACAUCCUGGGGCUGAAGUAGGUCCCAAGGGUAUGGCUGUUCGCCAUUUAAAGUGGUACGCGAGCUGGGUUUAGAACGUCGUGAGACAGUUCGGUCCCUAUCUGCCGUGGGCGCUGGAGAACUGAGGGGGGCUGCUCCUAGUACGAGAGGACCGGAGUGGACGCAUCACUGGUGUUCGGGUUGUCAUGCCAAUGGCACUGCCCGGUAGCUAAAUGCGGAAGAGAUAAGUGCUGAAAGCAUCUAAGCACGAAACUUGCCCCGAGAUGAGUUCUCCCUGACUCCUUGA
rnacentral:rRNA from 1 species